UAACGCGUAAAGAACUUGCCUCACAGUAGGGAACAACAUUUAGAAACGAAUGCUAAUACCUGAUAUUAUGUAGUUUUAGGGCAUCCUAAGAAUUAUGAAAGCUAUAUGCGCUGUGAGAGAGCUUUGCGUCCCAUUAGUUAGUUGGAGAGGUAACGGCUCACCAAGGCGAUGAUGGGUAGCCGGCCUGAGAGGGUGAUCGGCCACAAGGGGACUGAGACACGGCCCUU
rnacentral:rRNA from 1 species